CCGAUGCGCAGGCGCGGGCUGGCCAGCUGGGCCUGCAGGUGGAGGGCCUGAGGCGGCGCCUGGAGGAGCUGCAGCAGGAACUGAGCAACAAGGACCAAGAAAAGGUGGCGGAGGUGACCAGGGUGCGGGUGGAGCUGCAGGAGCAGAAUGGCCGCCUGCAGGCAGAACUGACGGCCCAGGAGGCGCUGAGGGAGAAGGUGGCGGCCCUGGAGCGCCAGCUGAAAGGUUCCCCCAGGCCCCACCCGCUGCCGUUCUCCGGACGGGGCCUUG